UGCUUGCACCUGAUGGCGAGUGGCGAACGGGUGAGUAAUGCAUCGGAACGUGCCCAAUCGUGGGGGAUAACGCAGCGAAAGCUGUGCUAAUACCGCAUACGAUCUACGGAUGAAAGCGGGGGAACCUUUCGGGGCCUCGCGCGAUUGGAGCGGCCGAUGUUAGAUUAGGUAGUUGGUGGGGUAAAGGCUCACCAAGCCGACGGUCUAUAGCUGGUCUGAGAGGACGACCAGCCACACUGGAACUGAGACACGGUCCAGACUCC
rnacentral:rRNA from 1 species